CGGAAGCAGUCCGGGCAGUUUUUCUCUUGCAAGCAUUGAAGCUCGUUUUCACUGGCGGGUAUGAUUCGGUGGUUCGGAUGUGGGACAUGGAGGAAGGGCUGGCUAUUGCGACGUCUAGGCAUCUUGGGAAUACAAUUCGAGCCAUUGCUGCGGAUACCGAGCUUUUGGUAGUGGGAGGUACAAAUGGUUUUAUUCAGUGUUGGAGGGCCAUCGAGG
rnacentral:misc_RNA from 1 species